rnacentral:rRNA from 1 species
GACGAACGCUGGCGGCGUGCUUAACACAUGCAAGUCGAACGGAAAGGCCCUGCUUGCCGGGUACUCGAGUGGCGAACGGGUGAGUAACACGUGGGUGAUCUGCCCUGCACUUCGGGAUAAGCCUGGGAAACUGGGUCUAAUACCGGAUAGGAGCCAUUUUUAGUGUGAUGGUUGGAAAGUUUUUUCGGUGUAGGAUGAGCUCGCGGCCUAUCAGCUUGUUGGUGGGGUAAUGGCCUACCAAGGCGGCGACGGGUAGCCGGCCUGAGAGGGUGGACGGCCACAUUGGGACUGAGAUUCGGCCCAGACUCCUACGGGAGGCAGCAGUGGGGAAUAUUGCACAAUGGGCGCAAGCCUGAUGCAGCGACGCCGCGUGGGGGAUGACGGCCUUCGGGUUGUAAACUCCUUUCGCUAGGGACGAAGCUUUUUGUGACGGUACCUAGAGAAGAAGCACCGGCUAACUACGUG